CAGGUUUCCGUAGGUGAACCUGCGGAAGGAUCAUUGUCGAGACCCGAGGAUUUAAGGAAUAAACCGACGGUAGAUAUGUCCAUCAAGUGUGCCGCUUCGAUGGGGGUGUGUACGUACAAUUGGAUGCUUCUCAAGCAUCCAGUCCUGGCCAUCCCUUUCGGACGCGGAUUAUGUCAUGCCGUUUCUCCCCGUCGGGGGGUGCGACUGACAAACCGGUUAAACGGGCACGAUACGUGCCAAGGAUCUUCACAAUGAUAGCCUCCGUUUAGUGUGGUGUCGGGUCUUGAUGACUCUCGCCCGCUUACGGGAGCUACCUAUAAUUUUGUAUCUAUGAUGACUCUCGGCAACGGAUAUCUAGGCUCUCGCAUCGAUGAAGAACGUAGCGAAAUGCGAUACUUGGUGUGAAUUGCAGAAUCCCGUGAACCAUCGAGUCUUUGAACGCAAGUUGCGCCCGAGGCCUUCGGGUCGAGGGCACGCCUGCUUGGGAGCCAUGCCUCGUCUCGCUCCGUGCAUCCGAUGCUCCGGCAUCGGGAUAGACGGAAGUGGAUAUUGGCACACCGUGUCCAUUUCGGUGCGGUGUGCUAAAGAACGGGAUGCCAAUGUGGGGCACAAGGGCACGACUAGUGGUGAACGGACAUCUCUAUUGGCCGAGGCCGAUGUCGUUUCCCUCCCUUGGCAUCCAUCGGGCACAAUCCUUUUCAUGAAGGGAUUGUUACCUACUCGUGUUGCGACCCCAGGUCAGGCGGG
rnacentral:rRNA from 1 species